UCAAAUUUGUGAAAGAUUUCUUUACAAAAAUAAAUUUGUUUCUCGUGUUGUAGAAAUUAGCGAUCACUCGCAACUGAGUCCUAUUGUUCAUCGUUUAUGUCCUCUAUGUAUUAAAUCAGAAAAUCUUAAUACAAAUGAAACGACUUUAAAGACAUUUUCAACUCAAAAUAAAAAUGUCGAUGAAUUGGAUGAUAUUAUACCCGAUAAUCCAUUGAUAAUUCGUAAAGAUUCUGAUAUUAAAUAUAUUGACGACAACU